GAUGAACGCUGGCGGCGUGCCUAAUACAUGCAAGUCGAGCGAACGGACGAGAAGCUUGCUUCUCUGAUGUUAGCGGCGGACGGGUGAGUAACACGUGGAUAACCUACCUAUAAGACUGGGAUAACUUCGGGAAACCGGAGCUAAUACCGGAUAAUAUUUUGAACCGCAUGGUUCAAAAGUGAAAGACGGUCUUGCUGUCACUUAUAGAUGGAUCCGCGCUGCAUUAGCUAGUUGGUAAGGUAACGGCUUACCAAGGCAACGAUGCAUAGCCGACCUGAGAGGGUGGUCGGCCACAUGGGAAGUGAGACACGGUCCUGAGGACUGCGGUAGGCAGCAGUAGGGAAUCUGCGGCAAUGGGGGAAAGCAUGACGGAGCAACGCCGCGUGAGAUAUGGAGGUCUUGGGAUCGGGAAACUCUGUUAUUAGGGGAGAACAUAUGUGUAAGUAACUGUGCAGAGCGUGACGGUACCUAAUAAGAAAGCCACGGCUAACUACGUG
rnacentral:rRNA from 1 species